AAUGCCAACAUUUUUGGAAUCGGUUUCUGAUAUUAUUUUGAAGACUGGCAAAUACCUUAAUGUUAUCAGGCAGUGUGGCAAACCAGUAAAAACCACCGUUUACCCAAUUCAAUAUAAAUUCGAGGAAAAA